GCUGACACAUCCCUGCCAAUCUCUGGCAGACCCUCCCUCCCAGACCCUCCCACCUCCUGGACAGCAUCCAUGUUGAAGCUGCCUUCAACAUGGAUGCUAUCCAGGAAGUAGGAGGGUCUCGGAGGGAGGGUCUGCCGGAGAUUGGCAGGGAUGUGUCAG
rnacentral:miRNA from 1 species